UCUUUUAGCUUGAUUAAUCAGUGGGAAGGGUCUGAAGGAGGAAGUACAGUGUGAGAGUGAGCGAAAACAGAAGGGCUGGAAGAUGAAGGAGGCUACUCUUGGUUCCUGUUGACAGGCUCCGCUGAGGAGGACCCGCAAGCAGAGAAAAUGUACCUGCUGAUGCUCCUCCCCCUCCUCUUCCAGCUGUCAGGCUCCUCUCCUGUCACAGGUCCGAAAGCACUGAGGGGCCAGGAGCGGGGCUCCCUGACUGUGCAGUGUCGAUACACUCCUGGGUGGGAGUCCCACGGGAAGUGGUGGUGCCGAGGAGCCGACUGGAGCAGCUGCAAGAUCCUUGUUCAAACCACUGCAUCAGAGCCGGAGGUGAAGAGGGACCGUGUGUCCAUCAGGGACGAUCGGGAAAACCGCACAAUCACCGUGACCACAGAGCAGCUCAGGCUGGACGAUGCAGGCAUUUAUUGGUGUGGCAUUGCGAGAGUCGGGACUGACCAUGGGGCCCAAGUUAGGGUGACUGUUGACCCAGCACCCACGACAGUGCCGACCACCACUUCCGCUAUUAACACGUUCACAGCACCUGUCACCUCAGGAGAUGACUCCCUGAAUAUGACCAGCCACGGUCCCAACGGCAGCAGCAUCUUCGGGAAUCUCAGCACCCUUCUUCCCCUCAUCUUUGCUGUGUUGCUGCUUCUCUUGGUGGUGGCCUCCGUCGUGGUUUGGAGGAUGGUGAAGCAACAGAAGAAAGGGGCUGCAACAUCCCCAGAGCAGCCCUUGGAGAGCGACCUCUGCUACGCAAACCUGAACCUGCAGGAGCCCAACUCUGGCUCUUCCCAGAGGAAGGCCUCCACCCAGCCCUCCUCCUCUGCCCAGGGCCGCCCCAAGGAUGUGGAGUAUGUUACCAUGGCUCCCUUCCCCAGGGAGGACAUCGCCUAUGCAGCUCUGUCUUUGGGGGACAAUGAGAAUCAAGAGGCGACCUACAGCAACAUGGGGGACCUCCUGGCCCACGAUCCCAGUAGGAGCCACGAGGAGCCCACAGAAUACAGUGCCGUCAAGAAGGCUUAGCCUGCGCUCCAGAGGGGACCUCUGAGCACCCCAAGUCAGAAGAGCUGGCGGUAUUUCUCAAGAGGGGCAGUUGGAGGAAUAUGCUUGCCUGAAGCGACUCUAAGGGUCCAUCAGAACCCUUGGCCCAGGUUAACUGGCCUUGCCUUCAUGUCAACUGGCGAAGCCAUCAGACGAGCUGGUCUGCAUUCUGCACUGAAUUAACAGAUCUGUGCAGCGCUUCUUGUAUUGAUGCUAUUUUUCUCCCCCAGUAAAACAACAAGCCAAUGCCUGCUUGAUGGGUUUGUCACUGGGAGAGCCGCCGCAAGGAGUCGCCUUCGGGCAUCCCCACACGGAUGGCUGCCUUCUAUCAGGGAUGACGAGGGCUUCUGCAGUGAGGAAGCCACAGGUCACAACCCCUGGUCUCAGCCAUGCUGCCCAAUGCCAGCCCUGUAGUCACUGGAAGGAGUUGCAAAGUACAGACAUGGCACUCUUUUCAAAAGUCCACACAGCCUUACUAAUGAGCCACAAAAGCAGAAGGACUAAACCCCAGAGACCCAGUGUCCUUCCCCUGAAACACCCUGAUGUCUGGCGGAUGGAAAGUGAGAGCAGAACUAGUGGAGAGGUGAAAUAUUUUAUCGAAAAACAUCUGGGACCCCUCAGAAAAAGCUGGGACCUGUUGGAAAGACAGCAGUGGGGAUUUCCUGUUGUGGCUCAGCAGUUUAAGAAUGCUACUUGUAUCCAUGAGGAUGCGGGUUCAAACCC